rnacentral:rRNA from 1 species
UGGGGAAUCUUGGACAAUGGGCGCAAGCCUGAUCCAGCAAUAUUGCGUGAGUGAAGAAGGGCAAUUCCGCUCGUAAAGCUCUUUCGUCGAGUGCGCGAUCAUGACAUGACUCGAGGAAGAAGCCCCGGCUAACUCCGUGCCAGCAGCCGCGGUAAAACGGGGGGGGCAAGUGUUCUUCGGAAUGACUAGGCGUAAAGGGCACGUAGGCGGUUCAUCGGGUUGAAAGUGAAAGUCGUCAAAAAGUGGCGGAAUGCUUUCGAAACCACUGAACUUGAGUGAGACAGAGGAGAGUGGAAUUUCGUGUGGAGGGGUGAAAUCUACGGAUCUACGAAGGAACGCCAAAAGCGAAGGCAGCUCUCUGGGUCUCUACCGACGCUGGUGUGCG